CUGAGUCAUAGAUAUAUUUGCUGUUUCGAUUGUGGAGAUGGUUUCCUGGGUGACUACAUAUAUCAAAAUUCAUCAAAUUGUACACUUUAAAUGUGUGCAGUUUACUGUAUAUCAGUUAUGCCUCAACAUACCCAUUAAAAAGUAGUGAGGGAAAAAAGCUCUCUUUUGGUUCAACUUGGAGCAGAGUCUGUAAGCUUGAGACUCAUGGCAGCCAUCUUGCAAUUGUGAGGGGAAAACCUGCUUGAGAGUGAAGCCCACCCAGAGGAAAAUAGAACUUGCAAGAGGGCUGGAUUCUGGUGAUACCUUGAGCACCUGGAUCCAGCUGUGCCUGAUGCCAUCCCUGACAUUUUUAUUUAUUCACUGAAACAAAACAUCUCUUUGUGUGUAUGUGUGUAUGUGAGAGAGAAAGAGAUUAACUCAGUCUGAAUUGAGUUUUCUCUGUUGCAACUGAAGAGUCCCAUAAAAUAGUCCAGAGUCAGACAGAAAAACUGAGAGGCCCUUCCUAAUCAGCAUGUAUCCCGGGGGGGAUUCAUUUUGGGAUUGCAGGAGUGAUCAGUGCUGCCUGUAUUCAGACCGUGGUGGUCCCCGAGUGUGGAGGUGCGAGGAGGAGGCUUCAGUGUUUGCGUGCUGGGCCGUCUCACAGAGAAUCACAGUCCAUUGCGCCUCUGCUCUGGAGGAGUAUUUUUCAGCAGCAAAUAGAGUGGUUUGCAAAUAAACAAACACCCGGAACAAAUCCUGAAAAGGAGAGCAUCUGUGUGUGGACACUGUCAAACUAGGUCAGCCUCAGGCACAACUGCUUUGACAGUUUGCUCCCGAAGGUGGCCUGCAGGUGCUCGCUUCUUCCCCCACCAACCAGCCAUCUGCGGUUUGCGACGUCCAGGCCUGGGAGAGACUUAGGGUGUCAUUGACUUUGUGCUCCUCACUUCCACAAGGGUGCACCCCCACCCCAACCCAAACCCCUGAAUUCCACAAAGGUAAGCCCCACUGCUUCGUUUGUCAGCGACUCCAGGAGAUGUGGUUUCGCCAAGUAAUAAAUGUGUGAAUCUAGAAGGCACCGUGACCACGUUGGAGCUAGGCAGAUAUAACGUCUCCUCCCGGUUCCUCGGUGCACUGGAAACCACUGGAAUUUCCACUUCUUUCAGGUGAGCUUAUCCUAAGGAUUUUGUGAUGUACUUCCCCG
rnacentral:lncRNA from 1 species